UACAGAGGUCUCAAGCGUUGUUCGGAUUCAUUGGGCGUAAAGGGUGUGUAGGUGGCGCCGUAAGUCGGGUGUGAAAUCUCGGAGCUUAACUCCGAAACUGCAUUCGAUACUGCCGUGCUUGAGGACUGGAGAGGAGACUGGAAUUUACGGUGUAGCGGUGAAAUGCGUAGAUAUCGUAAGGAAGACCAGUGGCGAAGGCGGGUCUCUGGAAAGUUCCUGACACUGAGGCACGAAGGCCAGGGGAGCAAACGGG
rnacentral:rRNA from 1 species